GAUGAACGCUAGCGGCAGGCGUAAUACCUGCAAGUCGAGGGGUAGCAAGAUUGUAGCAAUACAAUUGUUGACGACCGGCCAACGGGUGCGGAACACGUACACAACCUUCCUACACGUGGGGAAUAGCCCAGAGAAAUUUGGAUUAAUACCCCGUAACAUAGCGAUUUGGCAUACCAUUGCUAUCUUAGCUUCGCCGCUUGUUGAUGGGUGGGCGGCUGAUCAGAUAGUUGGCGGGGUAACGGCCCACCAAGUCUACGAUCAGUAGCUGAUGUGAUAGCAGGAUCAGCAACACGGGCACGGAGACACGGGCCCGACUCGUACGUGAGGCAGCAGUAAGGAAUAUUGGACAAUGGACGCAAGUCUGAUCCAGCCAUGCCGCGUGAAGGAUUAAGGUCCUCUGGAUUGUAAACUUCUUUUAUAAGGGACGAAAAAAGGUCUUUCUAGAUCGUCUGACGGUACCUUAUGCAUAAGCACCGGCUAACUCUGUGCCAGCCGCCGCAGUAACAC
rnacentral:rRNA from 1 species